CACGUAGUUAGCCGGGGCUUCUUAGUCAGGUACCGUCAUUAUCUUCCCUGCCGAUAGAGCUUUACAUACCGAAAUACUUCUUCACUCACGCGGCGUCGCUGCAUCAGGGUUUCCCCCAUUGUGCAAUAUUCCCCACUGCUGCCUCCCGUAGGAGUCUGGGCCGUGUCUCAGUCCCAAUGUGGCCGUUCACUCUCUCAAGCCGGCUACUGAUCGUCGCCUUGGUAGGCCGUUACCCCACCAACAAGCUAAUCAGACGCGGGUCCAUCUCACAGCGAUAAAUCUUUGAAAGGAUCGUCAUGCGGCAAUCCCUUGUUAUGCGGUAUUAGCAGCCGUUUCGGCUGUUGUCCCCCUCUGUGAGGCAGGUUACCCACGCGUUACUCACCCGUCCGCCACUCAGUCAUUACCAUCUUCCCUCCGAAAAGUUCCGUCGGUAGCGCUUCGUUCGACUUGCAUGUGUUAAGCACGCCGCCAGCGUUCAUCCUGAGCCAGGAUCAAACUCU
rnacentral:rRNA from 1 species